GCUGGGUGCAGUGGUGCAUGCCUGUAAUCCCAGCAACUUGGGAGGCUGAGGCAGGAGGAUUGUGAGUUCAAAGCCAGAUUCAGCAAAAGCAAGGUGCUUAGCAACUCAGUGAGACCCUGUCUCUA
rnacentral:sRNA from 1 species